rnacentral:rRNA from 1 species
AUUAUUUUUUUAGAUUCUUUUUUAUUGUUGAAAAAAUUAAAAACAAAUUGUUUUUUACAAUAAUUAAAAUUUAUAAUAUUUCAAUUUUUAAUUUUUAGUUUUAAAUAAAAAUUACAAAUAUGAAAAAUAAAAAAAUUUUGUUAUAAAUUAAAUUAAUUUAUUUAUAUUAAAAAUAUUUUUUAUAAUUUUUAUUUUUUUUAUUUUUUUAAAAAAAAAAUAAUUUAAUUAUAAUUAUUUAUUUAAAUUUAAUAAUUAAAUAUAAAAUUUUUUAUUAAAUAAAUUUAAUAAUAAAUGUUUUUUAAAUUC